rnacentral:rRNA from 1 species
UCAAAAAGUACGUGAAAUUGUUGAAAGGGAAGCGCUUGCAACCAGACCUGUCCGUAGGUGAUCAGCCGCCGUUCUCGGUGGUGCACUCGCCUGCGAUCAGGCCAGCAUCGGUUCGGGCGGUCGGAUAAAGGCCCUGGGAAUGUAGCUCCUCUCGGGGAGUCUUAUAGCCCUCGGUGCAAUGCGGCCAGCCCGGACYGAGGACCGCGCUUCGGCUAGGAUGCUGGCGUAAUGGUUGUAAGCGACCCGUCUUGAAACACGGACCAAGGAGUCUAACAUCUAUGCGAGUGUUUGGGUGUUAAACCCAUACSCGGAAUGAAAGUGAACGGAGGUGAGAACCCUUUAGGGSGCAUCAUCGACCGAUCCAGAUGUCUUCGGAUGGAUUUGAGUAUGAGCAUAGCUGUUGGGACCCGAAAGAUGGUGAACUAUGCCUGAAUAGGGUGAAGCCAGAGGAAACUCUGGUGGAGGCUCKCAGCGGUUCUGACGUG